rnacentral:rRNA from 1 species
UACAGAGGGUGCGAGCGUUAAUCGGAAUUACUGGGCGUAAAGGGCGCGUAGGCGGUUAUAUGUGUGGGAUGUGAAAGCCCUGGGCUUAACCUAGGAAGUGCAUACCAAACUGUAUAACUGGAGUAUAUGAGAGGGUAGCGGAAUUUCCGGUGUAGCGGUGAAAUGCGUAGAGAUCGGAAGGAACGCCGAUGGCGAAGGCAGCUACCUGGCAUAAUACUGACGCUGAGGCGCGAAAGCGUGGGGAGCAAACAG